rnacentral:rRNA from 1 species
AUUGAACGCUGGCGGCAUGCCUUACACAUGCAAGUCGAACGGCAGCACGGGAGCAAUCCUGGUGGCGAGUGGCGAACGGGUGAGUAACGUAUCGGAACGUGCCCAGUCGUGGGGGAUAACGUAGAGAAAGUUACGCGAAUACCGCAUACGAUCUAUGGAUGAACGCGGGGGAUCGCAAGACCUCGCGCUAUUGGAGCGGCCGAUAUCAGAUUAGGUAGUUGGUGGGGUAAAGGCUCACCAAGCCGACGAUCUGUAGCUGGUCUGAGAGGUCGACCAGCCACACUGGGACUGAGACACGGCCCAGACUCCUACGGGAGGCAGCAGUGGGGAAUUUUGGACAAUGGGCGAAAGCCUGAUCCAGCCAUGCCGCGUGCAGGAUGAAGGCCUUCGGGUUGUAAACUGCUUUUGUACGGAACGAAAAGGUUUGGGCUAAUAAGCUGAGCUCAUGACGGUACCGUAAGAAUAAGCACCGGCUAACUACGUGCCAGCAGCCGCGGUAACAC